rnacentral:lncRNA from 1 species
AAACGAAAGAAAUAUUCCUUUUGCAUGUUCUUCCUAUAUUGCCGAAAUUAAAGAGUAAGAAAAAGAGAAAAGCUUUCUCACUUUCGGUCAAGGAAAGCCAAAAUCCAAGGUUAGUUUUAGUUUAGAUUUUCAUAAAAAGUAUAUUUUUGAGCUUGUAGUCAAGAUAUGUACAUAGCCAUGUGUUAAUUUUGAAAUUAAUUCAUAUUAUGGUAUUCGGCUAUGGAGAAAUUUCUUGAGUUAGGUGGUGUUGAUGUUAGAAAAUGAAAGUUAUAUGCUAGAUUUUUUUAAAAGUUGUAAUAAGAUUUCUAUGUGAUUUUGUGUAUAAGGGACGAAUUUGUAAAAUUUUUGAAUAGAGAGGGACUAGAUUUUAAAUAAAAUAAAAUGUAAGGGUUUGAAUAGGUUUAGUGAAUAUUCGGCUCUUGUGAAUUGGGAUGAGAUUGAGUGUAUUUUAUGAUAUAUGCACUUUGGAUUAUUUUGUACAAUUGUAAAAUGUGAAGGGCAAAUUAGAAAUUUGCUUAAUUGUGUAGUUGAGAUUAAAUUGAGUGAAAUUCAAUUUAAUGAGUUCAAUUUGGAAUUAAUUAGAUCAAGAACAAAAAUGACCGGGAUCGGAUCGGGGAAAAACGAAAUUAAUCGAAUAGUCGUGAAACGUAGUUCGCCGAUAUACGAGGUAAUAUUUUAAGCAAUUAAGUCGAAUUUGAUUUAUUUAUAAAUGAUAUACAUGAAUUUAAUGGAAGUAUAUAUAUUAUUGAUAGAACCGAAUGUGACAUUGAUUAAGGAGACAAAUAGGUUAAUAUGUAUUUAUGUGGUUGAUGUUUAAGCUUUGUAUGUAUAUAUAUAAAUGAGUAGCAAGUUUGAGAGAUGCACUAAACGUGCAAAUUUGAUACCGAGCACUAAGUGUGCGAAAUCGGUCAUUGAGCACUAAGUGUGCAAGUUGAUUUUAAGCACUAAGUGUGCAAAUUGGAUUUCCGAGCACUAAGUGUGCGAAAUCGGUUAUUGAGCACUAAGUGUGCGAGAAAAUUUUUAAGCUCAAAGAUUGAGUUCGGUAAGUCUCGAAACUAUGAGGUGUUUAUAUUUGAAAGUAAAUAUAUGUGUUUAAUUGUGGAUUAAAUGAAAUGCUAAAUGUAAAUCGUCUAUUUGGAAUUUUGUAUAAGAUGUAUAUUUUGAAUAGCUUUGUGUUUGAAAUUGUGGAUAUCACAUGAGAAUGGAAUUUCAUAUUAGAUUCGGCCGGGAGUUUGGGAACAAGAAAUGCUUUGUGGUUGUAAGUUGGUAUUGAUGAAUCCUUGCCUAUAAUAUUUGAAAUUAUUAUUAAGAGUUUGAUCGAUAGACUUAUUAAAAUUGCUUAAAACUUACUAAGCUGUUAAAGCUUACAUGGUGUGUUUUUGCUUGCUUUUUGUAUUUUAGAUUCUUGAUGUGAAAAAAUAAAAUAAAUAAAAUAAAGAACACACAAAUUUUACGUGGAAACCCUUUCGGGAAAAAAACCACGGGCAGAGGAGAAGAAAAUUCACUAUGUCGAAAAUUUGAAAUCAAUACAAGAGGAAUAGACUAUGUCUAUUUAUAGGCUUGUAAAGCCAUAUUCUAGUAGGAUUGAAACACCUUAUCCUAAUCAAUAUAAAAUAGAUGAAGUUUAAUAAGGUUUAAAAAAUCUUAUUCUAAAAUAAAAUAAAAGAAGUCUAGUUCUAUAUGGAUUUUACUUUUAUUUUAUUUUCCAUCGUAUUUUAUUUAAAUAAGAAUUUGGGUCACUUAAUUCUAACACUUGGUGAUCGUUACGUGCUCAGAGAUCGUCAGUGAAUAUCGUCACACUAUCAUUAAUCUUUUGGUACUUUUGAAAAUCGAACUUAAAGUUUAUGGCAUGUAUAAGCUAAGAUACCUUUUGAAUUCAUUAUGGUUGAGACGUAUAUAAAUGCCAUGCGAAAAUGGCUAACUUGAUACAUAAGUCUAUAUUAUCUUGAUUGUGUUUUUGUGCUUGUAAUGUUUGAAUAUGAAAAAGGUGAAGUUGAUUGCGGUUUGAACGUUUGGUUGAUAUUUUGGUGUAUAGUAGAUGAUUCGGCUAUGCUAUGUAUUAGGUGUAAAACAUGCAUGUUGUAAUCGGUUGAUAUUAGAUAAUGUGAUUUUAUUAUAAUAUACAUAGGUAAUUUUUUCACGCGACCGUUUGGUAUGAAUUUUGAUUGGCUUAAAGAUCUAGCUUUAUGGGAAAUAUUAUGUAUGCCCUUUUAAUAUUUUAAGUUAUAUAUAUCUUAAUAGUGGUGCAUUCGGCUAGGUUGCUUAAUUAAUUAGAUUUGGUUAAAUGGCCGAAUAUAUGUAUAUCUAGUUAUAUGUUAAACAAGUUAACUAAGUUGUAAUUGUGGAAGUAGAUUGGAUGUAUUCGGUUCUUGGGUAAUGAAAUUUAGAAAUAUUUUGUCAUUUGGAGGUUGUAUAUAGUUUGCCAUGCAUAUAUGAUAUUUGCAGUGAGUGCAUUGUAUGAUAUGUCUAGAUUUUAAAUAAUUACCAUUUGAAUAUUACUUAUGCUGUUAAAACAAGGAUGAUAUAUGUGUUAUUAGUAAAUCGAUUUUAUUACUCAUGUUACAGUUGAGUGGUUAAAAAGACUCGUUAUUAUGCAUGUGAAUUGUUCGAAAAUUACGAGUAGGUCUCGUAAUGCUUCGUAACGCAAUCCGACGACGGAUACGGGUUAGGGGUGUUACAAUAAAUAUAAUAACUAAUCAAUUAAAUCGUAUCAAGGAGGUUUUCAUCAUCAAUUGAAAUGAUGUUUAGUUCAUAGUUAGAGUUUUAGAAUGCGAAGAUGUAUGGACAUCAGUUGAAUGUUUUUGUCUGAAAAAUGGGUCUAACAAAUCCAUAUCUCUAGUGUCAUCAGACACUAAAUUAAGUGGUUUUAUUGAUUUGAGAAAAAAAGUUGGGAAAGGCAAAUUAAAGUUUUCGUGUUAACAGUGGAGACAAGGAAAGAAAAGAUGGGAAUGAACUAGCUUUUGGGAUUUAAAUGUCGAACAUAACAAUGAAUAAAGGGAGUAUAGUAUCAAGUAUGAUUAAUUAUGCAUUAAUAAAGGAUAAAAUAUUGAGGAUCUACAUGGAGACAACUAUCAAUAAACAAUUAAAAGUAAAACGAUCAAUGGAGAUAAAAUAGAGCUUAGUUGUAACGCCCCAAACAAUUUAUUUCUGCUUUUAUAAACAUUUGACACAAGUAUGUAUCUGCUUCAGUGGUUAAAUGUUUUAGGUGUGUGUGAGAGAUCCCAAGUUUAAGCUUUACCUUUAGCAAUUUUGGUUAUUUCGAGCAGUGAGUUUAUAUGAUUUUAAUUGUUUUUUUCAAAAUUUUGUUUUCCUUCUCUCCUACAAAGAAAAAAGUUUUGACAUGAGUUUUCUUUCCAUUUCCUUCGUUUUCUUCCUCUUUAAUCUAUUUGAAAUUUUGGUUUCGUUUCUCGCCUUGUUUUUCGGUUUGUGGUACUCUUCGGGUGUUUCCGUAAGCUAUGUUGGUUUUUCACUCCAUAGUAGCGUACUUGACAUUUUAGGGAAUUUGAUUUCUGUAAAUCUGUGAUGUAGGAGAAGGGUGUGAACGGUGAAUUCUUGUUUCCGACAGUUUUUAAUUGCGCUAGUUUUUGGGCACAUUAUUGGUAAGUUUUGCGCAAUAUUUUGGGUUUUGUCGAUUUGUGGAUUGGUUGCUAACUGGUUAAUGAGAUGCUGUUUUUUUGGUUUUGGAUAGCUCGGGGUUACUGUAGCUUCUUGAGCGAAUCAGGUGUGUACCUAAAACACAGAAAAAUGAGUGUUGGCAAAAGUUGAAAAACCUUACUCUCGACACCACACGGGUGUGUGGUCACUCAAGUGGUAGGCCGUGUGCAAGAACACGACCUUGUGGUCGACGAAGGCAUGCGCACGGCCGUGUAGUGGCUCGAGUGUAGCCGUAUGGGUCAUACGAGUUAGGCCGAGUUGGGCGUGUAAGCCUACAUGGGAAUGACACACGGGCGUGUGGAUUUUUGGGCUAGGCUAUGUGGGCCACACGGACAAGGCCAAUCUGGGCGUGUAGGCCAUACAAGCGUGUGGGCCCACACGGGCAUGUGGGCUCAAAUUUCUAAAAUUUCUCUGAGGGUCGCACAGGUCGUCCAAUCGACUAUGGGCCUACCGUAGGAUCGGUAAAGGCUAACCAAACCCCAAGAUUGUAGAUCUGAUAGACUGAUGAUCUAUUCUGAGUAUGAUUAUGCAUAUCUAAUUAUUCUGAUAUCUGUACAUAGCAUGUCUAGUAUGUAUUCUAUAUCUGUUCUGUAUAUGAUUGUGGGGUGGGUUUUGUAUUGAUGGAGGAAGUGUUCUGUACCGCGAUCAUCGCCUAUUAUCUGGCAAUUUAGCUGCACUAUAUCUGAUACGUGUCGUAACAACACAACCUGGUGUGUAGGGAUAGGUGGGUGUUUUUAACCCCACAUGGUGUGUUGGGAUGGUCAGAGAUGGUAUGUAGAGGAUGGGGGUAGGAUUCUGAUUGUCUGAUUCUGUUUACUGUAUCUGUAAUUGAAAUUAGCUUGAGCCUGAAUCUGUAUCUGUUUUCGACUGUGUACAUGAUUUUGUAUGAUUGCAUACUUAAUUCUAAAGGGUUACACACUGAGUUAACGCAAACUCACAUCUGUUUGUCUGUUCUGUCAAGUAAUCCUCAGAGCUGGAUCGGUGCGGUAGAGACAUAACGGUGACCACUACAUUGUAAAAUAGUUAAACUUAGCUCUUUUGGUUUAUUUUAAACUUCAGACUUAUUUGUAAGUUAUAACUUUUG